ACCCAGGAGCAGAGCACGUGGUUGGACUUCAUGGAAUAUAUGACAGCUCCUCUCCGGCUCAGUUUCCUGAUCGGCCGAGUGAUACCUCGGCUCCCACGCUCCACAGGUGAUGAAACUGCAACUGGAAGAGGUGAAAUGACUUGCCCAAGGGCGUAAGGACAGAACUAGAAGUCAAAUCCAGAUAUACUGGAAGUCCCUGCCUUUCCGCUGGAUUCCCCUCUCUUGAAAUAGCCCGUGCCUUAUUCAGCCAGGAAC